UUCCCCCUCCUCCCCCCUCCUCCUUUGUCAAACCUUAAGUCAACAAUGGAGUGGCUUGGGUCACAAAGAAGCCCAUCCUGUUUCACCAGGUGAUGUUACCGAGGCAACCUCUUAAAAGGUGAUGGUGGGCUGGGUUGGCAGAAGAAAAAGGUAAUUGACAUCAGGAAACAAUCCUUUUUCCUCCUGGCCAAGGAGGAGAGAGAAAUAGAGAGGAGAGAGGUGGGGCAUCCUGAAGCCCCCAGAAAUAUGGUCUGAGUUAUAUUAGCAAGCUCCGGGGUCCAGGCGGCAGCCAGAAUGGGGGCUUGCUUCGGGUGCUGUUGUCAAAGUGAGGACGAAGUCUGGCAGGAGAAGACAAGCCAACCAAGGUUCAUCCCAAGGAGACCCCCUCCCACCCAUAGCUUUUCUUUCAGAGAGGAGCCCGUGAGAACAUGAAGAUAAGACACUGCACGGAGCCCAGCCCUUCUGGAAGGAGGAUCCUUCCCUUUGAGAAGACCACACUGUCGCUCCAUCUUUGCAUCAUCACAGGUGGCCAUGAAGACAACUUUGCAAACUCCUCUUUCGGAAGGAGACGAAGGAGUCUGACUCCUACCCACCCUCCCGCCCUUAGCUGUGACACUGAUGGAGACCAAUGUUGAAAUUACAAAGUCUUAGAGUGGGAACGCACUGCAUUCCUUCAGCCGAAAUGCUCAAUUGUCGGUUGUCUUUCGCGACAGGUGAGAGGACACCAGCUUCUCCAAACACCUCUCUCCACCUUCCACCCCAAAAAUAAAUUUAAAAAAAGAAUCAACA